AGGCAGGUUAUACGGCGUGACAAUAACUGGCCAAGAAGAAUAUUGACGCCCUGAUUGUGCAAAUGGGGCAAAACCAUCUGUAGAGAGGCCCAACCUCACAUUUCUAAUCUCAUCGGCGAAUCCAGGAAAGACUGAAUUCAAAUAUUUCCAUGCCGGAGAGUCGGCCGGGUGGCGCAUUAUCCCAUCGUCUGUGGAGGUCGCAUGCCACCGCAUAUGUUCAGCAGUUGCAGGAGAUGCAAACAAUCUCUGCAAUCGGGGCGUCAAGGGAAAAUAGUGCAUCUGUUUAGCGGGCACUUGUUUCUUUC
rnacentral:lncRNA from 1 species